GAAAGCAAAUCAGUCUGUUUUCUUUGAAGUCAAGCUAUUUAUCAGGUUUAGAUAUAAUUUACAAUUCCGACGACUCGCUUAAAAAAACAAAUUAGUGCAUAAACUGUAGAUGUUAAAGCCCAAUUAGAGGCAGGCAAAAACAAAGACGACCUCAAGAGAAAUGCAAUGAAGUCACUUUCCAAACACUAUCAAUGUAAAUAAUUGGCUCUUCUCUUCUUUUCAGGCCCAGUUAAAAACAAACUGUUUGUUCUUAAGUGGACCCGACGUUUAAAUUGGUGUUGGAAGCCACUACAAUCAUGUCAUCAUGAAGAGAUGCGCCCACCCGUCUGAAAAGUGAAUAAAAAAAAAAAAAUCACCAUUCAAGGAUGGCACAAAACCACUCAACCAACAAAAAAACACAAGAUCAGGUAUGUUCAUCCUUCAUAUGCUUACUUGGAACAGAACAUACUUGGGCAUUGAGCCGCAUGCUGCUUCACUCCUGUUACAUCUUGCACAGUCUAAAAAGUUCAUUUGUGUUUCUAAAAUUGCUUUAUGACGAAUCCAACAAGUAUGAACACUUGCCGCCAUUUGCAAACAGGCCUCAUGUAUCUGCAUGGACAGCCAGCCGCUAGAGGUGAUUAAAGCGCAGAUGUGUGAAUUAUGAAACAUCAAGCAA